AACGCACGAGACCUGCGGACCUGCGGAGGGAUCAUUACAGAGUUUUAUAACUCCAUAAACCCUUGUGAACCUACCUGUACGUCGUUGCUUCGGCGGGUAGCCCCUUAACCGGGGCGCAGCCUCCCAUCGAGGCGCCCGCCGGAGGACCCCAAAAACUCUUGCACUCUGUGGCCUCUCUGAGUACCAUAUAAAUAAAUCAAAACUUUUAGCAACGGAUCUCU
rnacentral:misc_RNA from 1 species